rnacentral:rRNA from 1 species
UGCGCCAGCGGAUGGCCGGUUGCGAGGUGCUGCAUGGUUGUCGUCAGCUCGUGCCGUGAGGUGUCGGGUUAAGUCCCAUAACGAGCGCAACCCCUACCUGCUAGUUGCCAGCGGGUCAUGCCGGGGACUCUAGCGGAACUGCCAGCGUAAGCUGCGAGGAAGUGGGGAUGACGUCAAAUCAGCACGGCCCUUACGUCCAGGGCUACACACGUGUUACAAUGGCCAGUACAGAGGGCAGCCACCCCGCGAGGGGGCGCUAAUCCUAAAAGCUGGUCCCAGUUCGGAUCGGAGUCUGCAACCCGACUCCGUGAAGCUGGAUUCGCUAGUAAUCGCGCAUCAGCCACGGCGCGGUGAAUACGUUCCCGGGCCUU